GACGAACGCUGGCGGCGUGCUUAACUCAUGCAAGUCGAACGGAAAGGCCCUGCUUGUGUGGGGUGCUCGAGUGGCGAACGGGUGAGUAACACGUGAGUAACCUGCCCUUGACGUUGGGAUAACUUCAGGAAACUGGGGCUAAUACCGGAUAUUAGCUCCUGCUGCAUGGUGGGGGUUGGAAAGGUUCGGCGGUUGGGGAUGGACUCGCGGCUUAUCAGCUUGUUGGUGGGGUAGUGGCUUACCAAGGCUUUGACGGGUAGCCGGCCUGAGAGGGUGACCGGCCACAUUGGGACUGAGAUACGGCCCAGACUCCUACGGGAGGCAGCAGUGGGGAAUAUUGCACAAUGGGCGGAAGCCUGAUGCAGCAACGCCGCGUGCGGGAUGACGGCCUUCGGGUUGUAAACCGCUUUCGCCUGUGACGAAGCGUGAGUGACGGUAAUGGGCAAAGAAGCACCGGCUAACUACGUG
rnacentral:rRNA from 1 species